UACGGAGGGGGCAAGCGUUAUCCGGAUUCAUUGGGUUUAAAGGGAGCGUAGGUGGCCUUAUAAGUCAGUGGUGAAAUCUCUGGGCUUAACUCAGAAAUUGCCAUUGAUACUGUAGGGCUUGAGUAUAGUUGCCGUUGGCGGAAUAUGACAUGUAGUGGUGAAAUACAUAGAGAUGUCAUAGAACACCGAUUGCGAAGGCAGCUGACGAAACUAUAACUGACACUGAGGCUCGAAAGUGCGGGGAUCAAACAGG
rnacentral:rRNA from 1 species